AAACCUCAUCUCUAAAAAUAAACAUAGAAAAAAAAAGAAGACAGAGUGAGGAUUCGCAUUGUUCUUCAAGGCUUUUUGAGUUGCCGUGUGUUUUGUUCAAAUGUGACCCGUGCACAUAGCCACUGAGAACAAGCUUCAGACACAGGCAGAACCUCAGUUCUAAGACAAUGGUUGUCCACUCACAACAAGCCAAUCAACUUCAACAGAGAACAACAAAAUUCAGAGGCAAAAUGAUGGGGUGCUUAUGGUAAUAGAAGGGAAAAUUAAACAACAAUAAUAGUAAAUAGAAAAACAUCACACUUAUUCUCCUCAAAUAAAUUUGAUACUUCGAUUUUUGUACUUAAGAAAAAAUGGAUAUCUGGAAAAUUAUUUAAUGAACUAACGCUUUAUACACCAACAACAUGAACACCAGCUUUGUUUGUGUGUGUUGCUCUUGUGUUUCUACUGACCUCCCUGUCCCCACUCUCCUCACUCUUAAACCAGUUCUUUUCCUAAGCAAUAAAUCCUAUUACCUUAUUUACCUGCUUAAAAACUUCUAUUGGUUCCCUGUUGGGUAAAUGAGAAAAUCAAAACCCAACUUGGCAAUAGGCCCUUCCCAGGCCCCAGCUGACUUUCUCUUGGAGCUAUUACCCUCAUGUCUGCCAGGCUGGGCACUUUAUUCAUUCUGUUUUUCUCUAUGUUCUUCCUCUACAAUCAUUCUCACCUGCCCAGCUCCAUCUCAUCCUCCUAGGUAAAGCCUUUGGUGACAAACUCCCUGUCCCUGGCAGCUCCCCACCCUCUCUCCCAGCUUUCCUCGGAUCUCUGAAAUGCCAUCUAAAUGUCUGUCACUUCCCUCAGAUACAGAAAAGGUCCUAUUUCUUACUUUCUCUGAACCCCUGUAUACCCAGCAAGGAGCCCAGCACAUAGUGGGCAGUGAAUAGCUAAGAAACAAAGUUUUUCAUUCUGCAAAUCACUUUCUACCUUGUUUCCAAGAGCUUCAGGGCAGUUUUCCAUAGUCUAACUCCAAGAGGCCCCUUGUCUUCACAUGGAAAGCCCAAGAAGUAGAUAAUGAGAGUUCUCUGGGCCCACACCAAUCAUUCCUGUAGAACAAAUUGAUGGUGUUCUCAGGGAGUGACACUGUGGGACACACCCCUGGGAAGCACUUGUCGAAAACUUUCCCCAUAGGUAUGUCAAGCAAAAUGUUGGGGGAGGGUGCAAAAAUGUUUCCCUUCCUAUUCAACAGAUCAGCACAUCUUAGAAAGAGAAAAUGACAGAGGGAGAGUAGAAGAGCAGAGCAUGAAAGAGAGGGUGGCUAUCCAAGGACAGUCUCUGCUGUCUGUCAGCUCACACCUCCUGCCACUCCCUGCUACUUAGGAAAUAGUUCCAGCCAAUUUCUUGCCCUUUUCCCAUUAUUUUUUCUAUCUGGGCCUUUCCACCGCUAACCAAAAAGGAAAAGAAAAAUUUGAUUUCCACCAAAAAUCAAAAUAUGUGAUUUUACUAGGAUUAUUUAUCUAGAUAAAUAUCUCUCUUGUCAGUAUUAAUGUGUAUAUUACAUUAAGUGGUAUUUAUUUUGUACUGGCAAACAAAAAGAAUAACUCAGAGUUUCUACUCUCUCUAUAACCAGCAAUAUCCCACAAGUUAAGUCCAUUUUUCUCAGAUAGAGAAAUAUUCUCAGAAUAAACUGGCUUAUCAUUCCAAUGUUUUACAUUUAAAUUGUCUGAAGCUUCUUUUCCUUUUUUCAGCUAUUUAAUGUUCAGCAUCUGCAGAUUCUAGUUCCAGAGUUAGAUCAGCCUGGAGAGCUUCUAAUUUCUUGAACUCUCCGUUCUGACCUGAUUCCUACCCCCAGGGAAAUAUAAUGCAGCUUCUGGAAUCUUUCUAAACCACACAAGGACUGUUGUGGAAGGACAUUUCAGUCAUCAGAGUUUAUGACUCAGAGCUUUUGAGCAUCUAAGUUCCAGUAUCUGUUUUUAAACUGUCUCUUGAUCAGAGUUUAGGUCUUCUAGUUUCUCCCUAUUUUACAUUAUAGAAACUAAAUCAAAGGAUUAAUAAGACAAACAAUGCUUGCAAAUAUAAAGUGCUAUUGCAAUGUUAGAUUAUGAUAAUAGGGUAUUUUAAGGAUGACAAGAAUAAAUAUAAGGGGAGAGAAGGACUCAUGAAUUUGGGGCAGUCAUUUAGGAAUUAACCUAAUAUUUAUUUCUACUAUAUGCCAAGCAAUUUCACAUACAUUCUCCCAUUCAAUCUUUAACUCUGUGGCAUAGACAUUAUCUCCAUUUUAAAAGAGAAAACUGAAGUUCUGAGGGGUUAAAUCCCUUGCCCAAGAGUCCCACUGCUAGUGGGUGCCAUAGGAUUUGAACUUAGGUCCUUUGACUCCUGGUUCAAAAUUAUUUUCACUGCAUAACUUUUGCUGAAAAGACUAGCACAGUCCCUGGUUAGAAAUUUGUUAUCCAUUAUCUAUGACCCACUUCUAGGGCUUACUAAAAUAAAUAGUUUUAUUCUACUACAACCUCAAAAGUAUCUCAAAAAAUGAAAUUGAGAGGCUCCCCCACUUCUUAGAAUGGUUUCACUUAAGCAAGAACCAAGAAAGGUAGAAUUUGUAGAGAUGUGUAACGGCUCCCAGGAUCCUUUACAAACAGGCAUAAACCCCUACCUAAUGCAGACUACUCAAUGCUCCCUCCUUUUGGACUAAAUGGGGCCCUUUUACCGAGGAAGCGCUAAUAUGGCAUCAGGCUAUUAAUGGGAAAAGCAUUUACUUUAGAUUAAGAAGAGUGUAAAGCAGUGUGGAGGGGGGGCUCUAUGACUGGCUAUUAGGGAUGUUAAUUAAAUAUUUAUAAUGUCUAAAUUAGCAUAGCGAAAGCUCAAUUCAUCAAUUUGUUCUGGUCUGUUUGUAAGGGGGAAAAAAUAACUCCAAAUGCCCCUGAAGAAAGACACUAUGUGGGUCAAUAAGAAGAUGACUGAACAAUUUAUUAUGAUUGUGGUAAACUUUUUAUUUGAUUUUAUUUAAAGGUACUUGUUGCAGCACCUUACCUUAAAGACCAUUUACCACAGUCAAUAUACUGGAGGGCCAUGCAUUAUUCAUUGUUAUCCAAUGAAAAAUUUUCUAAGGUGCUUCAAUGCUGAAUGCCUGAUUGAUUAAUUGAUUGCUUGAUAGUUACUUCCAAAAAGUAAGGACUAGAUUUAAUGUUUAGAACCAGGCGCUGGAAGCUAGAAGCUCUGAGUUCUUCCUCUAUUGCUAACUAGCCUGCUGAAGGACUUAGAUUUCCAAGCCUUAAAAUGAUAUCUUGCUAAUAUAGCUGUUUUUAGGCUUCCUGGUUAAUAAUUAAGAGGACUAGUUGGAUCUUCCACUGAAAACUGCUAAGUGUGCGGCUGCUUCUCCUCAGAUUGGGGUGGAAAAGCCAAGCAUAUUAAUACCUAAAUACCCACAGCCUGUGGGCAUUAUGUACAUGCUUAAUGAAUGUACUUUAUGAAUUCCAUUAGUUACAAUUACUUUUACCUCAUUUUAUUAUAGGAACGUCUCAAAAGGGAAAAGCCAACUGUCUAACUUAUUUUCAACUGUAAAUGAGACUGGCUGCAAUGGAGACUUCAUCACCAGCACAUAAAUGGAGUUGUCUAUAGCUAGCAGAGUCUCAUCACCACUCACACACAUUUGGGUAAACACAGUUAUGGGCGAAAAGUCUGGAAUAUUUUACAGACUCUCUCCACACUGGCCCAGCAGUUUCACAGUCAUAUUUAAUAAAUGCACUCCUUUCCCCAAAACUAAAAAUAUUAAAACUUUCUGAGGACUUUUCGUUUGUUUUGGCUAUAAUUAACAUUUUUCUAAUUUGCGGGUAUUUUGUCUGCUAUUCCUAUGAAGAAGUGAGCACAAAAAACAUUUUGAACCUUCUUCAUAUGGGUGCAUCUAAGUUCCCUCUCUUACUUUCCCCCUUUGGACAAUCUGGCCUUCUCUAGAGGGAGGGCUGGCGUGAAAGGGUUAAAGGUUCUCUGGUCAAAAUAGCCCAACAGAAGGAGCUGGGCCCAGAGCUGAAAUCUAAGUGCUAAUGACCGUUGCCCUUCACCCUACUGCUGUCCACUGGCCGGACCUGCGGCCGGGUGGGGCCCCGGACUGGGAGAGGGCACAAUAUUCUGCAUUUAACAUUUGAACUUCUCCUAUCCGAGGCAGCAGGCCGUUUUGUCCUGGGGUCGCUGACCCUGGCUCCCCCAUCAGCUGCCCUGAAACCUUAAUUGAAUGACAGAUGGUCAUUUUCGGGGGCGCCAGAAGCUGCGGGCGGCCAGCGGCGCGGGGACUGCGGCCCCAGGCCCCGGCAGUCCUGCCCGGACUCUGCCAGCAAGGGGCGGGCGGCAGAGGUAGCAGGCGGCUUGCGGAGCUGGCCUAGCCUGCGGGCGCGACGGGAUCUGCGGGCGUCGGGCGAACGCGUGGCAACGAGCACCUGGAGGAAACCCCGGCGUAAGAGGCCGCGCGGGCGUUAGAUCACCAGGUCCUAGCGUCCCUGCCAAUUCCCAGACCGAGGGCCAGACGCAGACUAGGCCCGAGCUAGGCCACCCGGGAGCCUGGCCCGGCCUCCGGCCCUGGAAGGCGGCAGAAAGGAGACAAAACCUCUGUCUUUCUAGGCCGAAGGCCUGAGUUCCAGCAUCCUGGGUCCCCACGCGUCGGGGUCUGGGGCCAAGACCGCCCACAGUCGGCGCCCAAGCCCAAGACGCCCAUCCCGGACCUGGCCUUCCCGCCAGGGCCCGCGCGCAGCUGGGAGCUGUUUAUUUAUGGCUGCAAAUGUGUGUGUUCAAGAGAGAGAGGGAAUUGAUCUUUGCCUGGACUUAAAGAUGGAGCCGAAGAAGCUGGAGGGAAUUUGGGCUUGUGCGUCUGGCCCAGACCCUGUGCGCCGAGCCCGAGGUCUAUCCUCCCCGCACCUCUCACCUCGCGACCUUGCAGGAAUCCGCGGGCCCGGAUGCUGCCCAGCUGACCCUCCUGCCCCGGGCCUGGCUGCAGAGAAAGUCUUCGGGCAGGAGGCCAUCCUGUUCCUGUCUUUAAAAUGAGCACAAUAAAAGGGGGCAAAUCCUCGAACGCGAACCUGAUCUCAUGUCACAGAAGCAACUUGCCAUGAAAUCCGCUAAUGCGCUGCGACUCGCCCACCAGGCGUGCGGCGGCCGAACUGCACCUGCGUUUGUGAGCCUUGUAGAAAUGGAGCCCACCGGAUUCCCUCACCCGGAGAAAUGCCCAAACUGAAACUUGACUACACUUCCCUGGGCUGGUUCACGGUUUCAUAAUCUCCCAGGUUUGCUGGCUGUGUCACCAAAUCCAAGCCAAACCUGCUAUAAACAUGAUCACAGGCCACUGACCUCGCAGCACUGACCGAUAACUCGGUGGCAAAAUCAGCUCCUCUGGUCAGAGGUUAUUAAAGCAGCGGCUGAAUUCGUGUUUGUUUUUUUGAAGUGGUCAGAAAAACGUAGUCUUCUUAAACCUACAAAAACAGUCAAACACAUUUGCAAAUGUGCUUUACUUGUAUUGGUUCGAGUGCUGGAAGCUGUCUGGCGGUGAGCUUUUUCGUUGCGUGUGGUUUAUGCAGAGCACCCGGGAUGUUUUUCUCGUCUUUUACGUCUUGGUAUCUUUUAAAAAUGUAGAAUGUGUCUCUGAUUGUUUCACAGUAUGUUCCUUAACAACCAGAUAUGUAAGAAAACGUUUGGGAUUGAGUGGUGAGAAAAGCAGACUGGAAAGUACAAAUAAACCCAAUCCAAAUGGAAAACAAAUUAAACAGAUGAAAUGAUUAUGAAAGAAGAUGGGGGAAUUAACUUGUCUGGAAAAAAUCGAGUUUAGGGUCUGAACUUUACAGAUUAAAUGGCAACACAGAACAAAUCCAAAGGAAUUAAAUCUAUUCUUUUGCCCUCCUAGGCAUCUGGGUCAGAUGCACAUUUUGAGGCAUUUCAACAGACAGAUCAGCUCUGGGACACUUGCACACUUUUUUGGUAAACUGCAACCUAUUACGUGACCUUUAAUCCUGGUGGAAAACAAUUUAAAAUGUAUUCCUGGCUUUAGGAAACAAAAGAAAAAUUUUAAACCCUGGCAGUUAAAUUAUUACUGGUCUCUACAGGGUUAAUUUAAUGUAAAUAAUCUACUCUCCUGAGGGAAAAGGUGGAGGCCUGGCAUUCUGGAAGGGCCAGUCAGGUGGUGACAAAACUGUGUGCCUUGGGGUUUUGAGGGGUGUGUUGGGUGGCUCUGAACCUGGCUUUGGGUUUGUUACAUCUCUCGCUCUCUUAAAACAGUAACUCAAGAUGUAAGUAAAAGUGUUUUCAUUUUUUAUUGAUCCUGCUAACAUCUUUCAUUAUCCAGCAUGUAGCCACAGCAAAUUAUUGCUCAUUUGAUACUGAGAAUUCUAUUGACCAUCGCUUUCGUUGGAGAGAGAAUUCUAACUACUCGGCUGCUCUGUCAUCAGUCAGAGCUAAGGCUGAGGACUUUCCACCACUAAAACCAAAAUAAAUUGAGCCUUCUGCCUCCAGAAAUUGAUAGAGAUGUGUUCAUUACAUUGGGCCACAUGAGCAUGCAUAGAAAUCUGCUUUUUACUCUCCCAGCCUUGCCCCCACUCAGGCAAUAGGUCGGCCCCUUUGGAACAGAACUGUCUAUUUGAAGGGCUGGGCAUUCGUUUGCUUUUCCUGUAUCCCUUCUGGCAACUUCUUUCCAGCUGUGGCCAGGUUGGGGCAAUGAAAUGAUGCAAUGGGAGACUCCUCCUCAGUCCUGUGGUCAAAGCCACCUUGACUUGCUUAAGCUUAGAGAAAUCAUUAAAAUCUCAAAAACAAAAACAAACAAAAAACCUCCUAAAAUGUCCAGAUAGGUCACUUUAUGGUCUGGAUAUAAUUUCCUAAAUUAAACUGCUCCACCCCCAUCAAGACCCCACAUAAUCAAAGAGCAGAGCGGCUAAGUUGGGAAGCGAAGGUUAAGCUCUGGGGUAUGCGCCUGUUCACUCUGGAAAUGGGCGUCCAGCGGGAAUGAUAGGCCUGGGCGACUCGUGCACUCACACCAGCCCAAGCGGAAAGGAAGUCUGGGCCUAGAGAAGGCCUGACCUUUGACCCUUGGCCCGGCAGCUCCGGGGUGCUAGAGUCUGCAGAGGGAGGCGGGUUGGGAGACGAGGCUAGACAGGGGCCCGCAGGGCAAUAGGAAAGGCUGGGUUUGUUCCCCAGGAAGCUAGUGGAGUAAUCUACCUUGACGCAGAAAGGAGCUGGAGCUGCCCCACAGCAGGGGCCACCCGACGCCCGACCCUCUGGCUGCCUUCACCAUCCCAGAGGCGGGCAGGUCAGGCCUGUCUGUUGGGAUCCAGGCUCCCUUGCCACUUCCCUUCCAGCAUCUGGGGAAAAGACGCCCUGACUCAAGGGUGUUCUGGCCCCGCACGACGGGGGGCGAAGAGAGACAAAAGUCGAGCCUAACAGCAGGCGGCUGCUGAGCUGGCGGGUCUUGGGCCACUGCUAGUCCAGCGUUGGCGUCCAGCGGGGCCUGUCACCUUUACAAGUAACAAGGGACCAUAUCCGCUUCUCCUUAAGCCCUGGACCCCAAGGGGAGGCCAGGACGACCUUGCAGGAGCCAUGCCCCCUGGGGAUUCUAUGGAGGAGAUUGUUUGGUUGGGUUUCAUUUGCAUCAAUACCAGGAGAUGAACCCUCUGGGUUUGGCUUCAGAACAAACGGAGGACCAAUUAACGCCUGUACAAAUUAGUCCCUGGCGUGUGCAACCCGCCAAACAACGCCAGUUCCAAAUCGGAAGGCACGUUUAGGGACUCUCAGGGACCCGGCUUGGUAGUUAUUUUUCCAAUGGUGCUGUUAAGUGUGAGUGAAGCUAUUUGCACUCUCGCGGGCCUCGCUCCAAGACCCCUGGCACGAUGGGGAGCCACUUUGUUCCGGAGGAAGGCAGCGGAUGAAUAGGAACCCUGGCUGCGCACAUGGACCCUAACCCAAGAGCAGCAGCAGCAGCAGCAGCGGAAAGACACGGGUAGUCUGAUUCGGCUUGGGGAACGGAAGGGGAGUGUAAGAUGAGAUACACACCGGAUUUUUUUAGUUUUUCCUUUUUUGUUUUUAACGUAGAUAAAUAACCCCAUCGUCCGUGUAAUCAGCACGUUCCCAAUGAAGUCGUUUUCCUAGAAUGCGCUCUCCGCCUGCCACACUUGAGGAAUCCAGCCCACAGAGGUUUCGGAAACCCAGUUUGAGUGAUUCCAGCCUAGACUGAAACCCUGAGAGCCUCCCAGGAAAGAGAGCCCGGCCUGGGCCAAGCAGUCGGACACACACACACACACACACACACACACACACACACACACACACACACACACGGACUGCGUAGCUCUUCGCAGGAUCGAAGGCUGGAUGCGGAUCUGGGAGGCGGUGGCUAAGCGAACCAGGAAGACUGUGACGGAAACCAAUACAGCAGUGUCAUCUUGAAAGUUAUUUGGAAGAACAGGACCUGGAGUCUGGGUUUGAAUCAAAAAAUUGUGAGCAAGGGACAGAUCACCCUGUAUUUCUCUGGAACGAGGCAGAACUGAGACCUGCUCAGCUGAACCAGCGUGGCCACAUAUUGGGGACUAGGAAAUUGUUCUCAGACACUGUAGCACACACAUCCUCUGACAGCGAGCUCACUCCUGCGCAGUGGGCUUCUGGUUCUGCCACUGCACUCCACAAACGCCCUACAGGCCUCCUCCAGGUUUUGCCAGGCAAAUGAAACGAGCACAACUCGAUAGUAAAUUAUUUUGUUCAGCCUUCUCUCUUUUUAUGAAAAUAAGAGGCAACACUUUGUCAUUUUUAAUCACAUAAGCAGACAAUAAAUCUAAUUUUGAUAUUGA
rnacentral:lncRNA from 1 species